rnacentral:lncRNA from 1 species
AUUUUUUCCCCUCGAGUGGGUUCCUUCCACGAGUUAAUUGUUCCAAUGAUCACUGAACUUAGAUCUAUGUCUUUUAUUGGUCACUGAAAUUUAAAAUGUCGAAUUUUGGUCACUGAAUUUAGGUCAAUGUUUUUGAUUGCUGACUGAACUUAGGCCAUAUCUUAAAUUAUUCACUGAAAUUUAAAAUAUCGAGUUUUGGCCACUGAAUUUUGGAAUAGUCGUAGGUUACUCACUAACAUAACCAUUGAAUUUUGAAAAAUAUCGAAUUUACAGCGAGUAAUGUACUGUAUUUUUCAAAUUUCAAUGAGUAAUGUACAAUAUUUUUUAAAGUUCAGUGAUCAAAAUUCGACAUUUUAAACUUUAAUGAGUCAUUGAAGACAUGGAUAUAAAUUCACUAAUCAAAAUUCGACAUUUAACCAAUCAAACAAAUUGACCAUUUAACUCUCCUUCGUCUUCUCUUCUUCUUUCUUGUCCUCAACUGGUGUUGGAGUGGCUUCAUCAGACAUUCAAACUUCUCACUGUUAUCCGCCACAGCCUCCUUCACAGGCGGCGGCUCCUCAUCUACAUACCACAAUUUAACUCGCUUCCCUAUCAUUUGUCACAUAAACUUGUUAUUUUGAAGGUAUAUUUUUCCUUUUGGGUUUUCAAUUUUACCUUUUUCUUUAAUUUGGAUUUUUUUUCGCAUCAUAUGUCGUUCAAUAAUUUUUGAGAAUUAGGGUUUGAUUAAUUUAAAAUGGGAGGUUUUUAUCAAUUUAUGUUACUUGAUCGUGUUUUCUGAUUUGGCUGCGUAAUUAUAUUAAAAAACAAACCAUGUGCUGCGUAAUUUUAUCAAUUUAGACAAAUUUGACGAUCCCUCAACAGCUUGCAUUUCCAGGUUUGAGAAUUCUUUAUGCACAACACCCAUAUUAUUAUAUUUGUUGCUUUAAGCCAUCAAUCCGUGCAAUCUAAUUUUCUUAGAAUUAUAGCUCUUCAGGAUUAAUAAUGUAUUAACUUUAGAAAUCAGCUUUCAUAUUGGCUAAUGAGUAGCUUGUUAGAUUGCACACAAUUUUCUCAUCUUGGUCUUUGAUUGAUGAUAGAAAAAUGUUGUACUUUGAGACAUUACUUAAAUCUAAAAUGUGAAGGGCAUGGAAGUUAUUUAUAUUGAUUUUGUUAGAAACUUGUGACAUGCCUAAAUUAAGACCUUUCGUGUUGUCCAUCCACAAUCAUAGAUUCAUGGUGAUAGAAUGGAAACUCAUUCUGAGCAUCAUCCAUGUACCUUGUCUUUAUGCAAUUUGCAAUAGGACUUUGAAUUUAUAAUGAAUAGAUUAAUGCAAUAGAAUUGUAUAUUUGUAUUGGUGUUUGAUGUUAAGCCCCCGUUUGGUACCUAUUUUUUUCAAAAUGCAUUUUUCUCUUUCUUUUUUUAACCACAUUUUUUAUUAAAAUAAUAUUACACGUAAAUAAAAAACUUUUCCUUAUUUUUCAACCAUAUACUUCCAAUCAAAUUACUAUUCUAAAAUGCAUUUUUACCUAAAAAUGGCAAUCAAACAUCCCCUAAAUUUAUAUUCUAGUCUU